rnacentral:lncRNA from 10 species
UCCCUGUGUUCCCAAGAGAAUUACAUUAUUGACAAAAGACUCCAAGACGAGGAUGCCAGUAGUACCCAGCAGAGGCGCCAGAUAUUUAGAGUUAAUAAAGAUGCUUCAGGGAGAUCUACAAAUAGCCAUCAAAGCAGCACUGAGAAUGAGUUGAAGUACUCGGAACCACGACCCUGGAGCAGCACAGAUUCAGACAGCUCUCUUCGAAACCUGAAACCUGCUGUAACCAAAGCCAGCAGCUUCAGUGGAAUCUCAGUCCUGACAAGAGGUGAUAGUUCUGGAAGCAGCAAAAGCAUAGGCAGGCUUUCAAAAACAGGUCAGCCCUUCAUAAACCCAGAUGGGAGUCCAGUUGUGUAUAAUCCUCCUAUGACUCAACAACCAGUUAGAUCCCAAGUGCCUGGACCUCCACAGCCACCUCUGCCAGCCCCACCUCAACAACCAGCAGCUAAUCACAUUUUCUCACAGACGGAGUCUCCCUCUGGCGCCCAGGCUGGAGUGCAGUGGCGCGACCUCGGCUCACUGCAAGCUCCGCCUCUUGGAUUCACGCCAUUCUCCUGUCUCAGCCUCCCGAGUAGCUGGGCUACAGGCGCCCGCCACCAUGCCCGGCUAAUUUUUUGUAUUUUUUAGUAGAGACGGGGUUUCACCAUGUUAGCCAGGAUGGUCUCAAUCUCCUGACCUCGUGAUCCGCCCGCCUCGGCCUCCCAAAGUGC